rnacentral:rRNA from 1 species
GUGCCAGCCGCCGCGGUAAUACGUAGGUGGCAAGCGUUGUCCGGAAUUAUUGGGCGUAAAGCGCGCGCAGGCGGCCUAUCCAGUCUGUCUUAAAAGUUCGGGGCUCAACCCCGUGAUGGGAUGGAAACUAGUAGGCUAGAGUAUCGGAGAGGAAAGCGGAAUUCCUAGUGUAGCGGUGAAAUGCGUAGAUAUUAGGAAGAACACCAGUGGCGAAGGCGGCUUUCUGGACGAAAACUGACGCUGAGGCGCGAAAGCCAGGGGAGCGAACGGGAUUAGAAACCCCUGUAGUCC